rnacentral:lncRNA from 1 species
GCCGUGGGCGGCAGGAAGUGUGCAGAGACAGAGCACCAGCACCCGGGUGGGGUGGGGAGGGGGCCGAGAAGGACCCUUCCCCACGUCCGGGCCACUAUGGCUGCUGGGGUCUCACACGCAGGGGAGCUGGGCAGGUCCCAGCCCCUGGGGGGUAAGACCAGGCGGGAGAGAAGGGCCAGGGGACCGUGCCUGGGACCUGUCCUUCUGCCCCCAGGACAUCGUGGCUGGAGACAUGAGCAAGAAGAGCCUCUGGGAGCAAAAGGGAGGCUCCAAGACCUCGUCCACAGUGAAGAGCACCCCGUCCGGGAAGCGGUACAAGUUUGUGGCCACCGGACACGGGAAGUACGAGAAGGUGCUGGUGGACGGGGGCCCGGCUCCCUAGACCCCGCCGCACCCUCCGUGUUCCCAGGGAGAUCCCGGCCAGACACCCGCCCCAGCCCUGGCUAAGAAGUUGCUUCCUGUCACCAGCCUGGCCCACCCUGGUGCCUUUGACACCCCCCACCACCACCACCACCACCGCGAACUCCUUUUGCUCCUGGACCCUCCAGCCUCUCUCCUCUCCCACUCUGACCCCAGCUCUGCCUCUGACUGCUUGGGGAGGAAAGAGACUCCUGAUCACUGGCCAAAGGGGCUGCCCCCCAGAGAGGACCAGAGCUCUCGGGGAAGGCAGGAGAACAAGGUGCCGCCUGUGCAGAGGGGGGCCGGUCACCCCACCAGAUCUGAGGGGUACCCGCAGGGUGAUCUCCAGGCCAAGAGCCGCCAACCCCUGCGCUGGAUGCUCAGGACUCUGUGCCCCUCCCGUCCCCGCUUGCCUCACUGCCCUCCCCACGUCAUGCAAUAAAGCUCCUUGUGUCCCCAUGCACUGGCUCGCCGUGCUCACUGAGGGGGACGGGGGAGUGGGGCUGACCGGGACACACAGCCCCGCACCAUGCAAUGUCCCUCUGCCCUGUCCUGUGGCCCUCCACAGGGGUAGGCACCAGGAUAUGAAGUCUGUGGUGGUCUAAGUCAGUGCCCAUGCAACGGGUGGGGUCCAGCCUGCCUUUUCCAGAAUGUUGUGACAUCCCCCUCUUGACUGGCCCACUGUAAACCUGUGCUCUGACUGCGUGCCUGCUGAGGG